rnacentral:lncRNA from 1 species
CCCCAAAAGAUUGUUUCCAUGCAGGUAAAGGGACUGUAAAAAAGAGGCUCUCUUUUAACCUGUGAUCAGGCUGUUCCAUACCCAAACCCAUGCCACAUUAUGCUUAAUUCCUCUCAUUUGUUUUUCAGGCACGACGUACACAACUCCAUCCUGCUCAAGUAUAUUUUAUUCAAAUGCCUCUCUCAGAAGGAGAUAAAAGUUAUUCAGCCACUUGUCUGGCUCCCAUCACUACAGAGCACAUGUGUGGGUGAUGCCUGGAUUCAAGGUAGGUCUUAAUAUGGAUAUUAAUCAGUUGGAUUCUGAAAUAGUGUCACCUCUGGAGCUUACUCAGUAUUUAAAUUAUAUCAUCUUAUUUUGCCUGAAAAGACACCAACAUCAGUUCCUUUCUUCUGGCCUUUCAUUAAAUGGCAGUAGGUAAAAGAGGUGUUUGUAAGAGCCUAGACUACUAAAGGAGAAAGCCUUGACACAGAAAUGGAAGUACACUUGUGAAUCAACAUUAGGGGGAGCAUAGAUAUCAUCUGUGAACACACAGGUUGGGUGAACACUGAACCAGUCAUGUUCUUCUGUUGAAUCACUGUCUACAGUCAGAUUUACUAGGCUGAUACAAUUAACACAUUUCAUAUGUUAAAAGCCUAAUUAGAAACCUGGCUUUAAACAUUCCACAAUUUUAUUUAUUUAUUUAUUUUUCUGGAUCUUAUUACCUACUACUGGCUGAAGACCUACAGAUAAAUAAGAGGAGUUUUGUUGGCAAACGUGAAAAUACAAGGUUUCUCUCUCUUUGUAUUUGAAAACAGUAAAUUGCUUUACCUGUAUUUUCACUAAUGCCCAUGAAAAGUUCAAAAUACAAAAGCCAUUGAUGCCCUUUCAUUCCAGGCUUUAAGGACAGAUACUUAUUGGGGGUGGGGGGGAAGGAAGCAUUUACAAAUUGAAUGGUAGAUAAUCAAAAGCGGAUACUAAAACAAUAUAUAUGAUCUUACUGAUCUUACUUAUGUUAACUGCUCGAUCAGAGAUUCAGAAAUUCUUUCUAGUGUUUUUUUUUUUGAUGACCAUGAUCUCUCUAUGAUCUCUUUUAGAGGCUGAUAGCUAUUGAUAGAUUUUACCCAAGAGGAAAGUGGAGAUCCAUCAACAGUGUUAGACUGCUAUAAGUUAUAGACUCAGAAGUCAGUAAUAAGCUGGAUAUUACUGGAUGAACUAAAAGUUUGUGUUGUGUAUUUCUAGUGUACAAACUGACAGGACAUAUAGAGUCAGUUUAAGA